GUGGUGAUGGCCUAGUGGAUAUGACACAUACCUUUGGUGUAGGAGACGUGGGUUCAAUUCCCACUGCAAUACA
rnacentral:tRNA from 1 species